AGGGAAACCGAGUCUUAACUGGGCGUUAAGUUGCAGGGUAUAGACCCGAAACCCGGUGAUCUAGCCAUGGGCAGGUUGAAGGUUGGGUAACACUAACUGGAGGACCGAACCGACUAAUGUUGAAAAAUUAGCGGAUGACUUGUGGCUGGGGGUGAAAGGCCAAUCAAACCGGGAGAUAGCUGGUUCUCCCCGAAAGCUAUUUAGGUAGCGCCUCGUGAACUCAUCUUCGGGGGUAGAGCACUGUUUCGGCUAGGGGGUCAUCCCGACUUACCAACCCGAUGCAAACUGCGAAUACCGAAGAAUGUUAUCACGGGAGACACACGGCGGGUGCUAACGUCCGUCGUGAAGAGGGAAACAACCCAGACCGCCAGCUAAGGUCCCAAAGUCACAGUUAAGUGGGAAACGAUGUGGGAAGGCUCAGACAGCCAGGAUGUUGGCUUAGAAGCAGCCAUCAUUUAAAGAAAGCGUAAUAGCUCACUGGUCGAGUCGGCCUGCGCGGAAGAUGUAACGGGGCUAAACUGUGCACCGAAGCUGCGGCAGCGACGCUUAUGCGUUGUUGGGUAGGGGAGCGUUCUGUAAGCCUGCGAAGGUGUCCUGUGAGGGAUGCUGGAGGUAUCAGAAGUGCGAAUGCUGACAUAAGUAACGAUAAUGCGGGUGAAAAGCCCGCUCGCCGGAAGACCAAGGGUUCCUGUCCAACGUUAAUCGGGGCAGGGUGAGUCGACCCCUAAGGCGAGGCCGAAAGGCGUAGUCGAUGGGAAACGGGUUAAUAUUCCCGUACUUGGUGUUACUGCGAAGGGGGGACGGAGAAGGCUAUGUUGGCCGGGCGACGGUUGUCCCGGUUUAAGCGUGUAGGCUGGUUUUCCAGGCAAAUCCGGAAAAUCAAGGCUGAGGCGUGAUGACGAGGCACUACGGUGCUGAAGCAACAAAUGCCCUGCUUCCAGGAAAAGCCUCUAAGCAUCAGGUAACAUCAAAUCGUACCCCAAACCGACACAGGUGGUCAGGUAGAGAAUACCAAGGCGCUUGAGAGAACUCGGGUGAAGGAACUAGGCAAAAUGGUGCCGUAACUUCGGGAGAAGGCACGCUGACACGU
rnacentral:rRNA from 1 species